AGCGCAGGCGGGCCGGUUAGUCUAAAGUGGAAUCCCAGGGCUCAACCCUGGACGUGCUUUGGAUACUGCCGGUCUUGAGUUCGUGAGAGGAAAGUGGAAUUCAGGGUGUAGCGGUGAAAUGCUUAGAUAUCCUGAGGAACACCAGUGGCGAAAGCGACUUUCUGGCACGAAACUGACGUUGAGGCUCGAAAGCAUGGGUAGCAACG
rnacentral:rRNA from 1 species